rnacentral:rRNA from 1 species
UGCCAGCAGCCGCGGUAAUACGGGAGUGGCAAGCGUUAUCCGGAAUUAUUGGGCGUAAAGAGUACGUAGGCGGUUUGGUAAGUCAGGUGUGAAAUCCCGGAGCUCAACUCUGGAACUGCAUCCGAUACUGCCAGACUAGAGAAAUGGAGGGGCAGGUGGAAUUCUUGGUGUAGCAGUGAAAUGCGUGGAUAUCAAGAGGAAGACCAAUGGCGAAGGCAGCCUGCUGGACAUUUUCUGACGCUGAGGUACGAAGGCUAGGGUAGCGAAAGGGAUUAGAUA